rnacentral:misc_RNA from 1 species
GAUGAAGAACGUAGCGAAAUGCGAUACUUGGUGUGAAUUGCAGAAUCCCGUGAACCAUCGAGUCUUUGAACGCAAGUUGCGCCCGAAGCCAUCAGGUUGAGGGCACGUCUGCCUGGGCGUCACAUAUCGUUGCCCAAUGCCUAUUGCAGUGCAAUAGGAAUUUCUAGGGCGAAUGAUGGCUUCCCGUGAGCGUUGUUGCCUCGCGGUUGGUUGAAAAUCGAGUCCUUGGUAGGGUGUGCCAUGGUAGAUGGUGGUCGAGUUAGAACGAUACCGAUCAUGUGCAUGCUCCCCAAAAUAUGGCCUCUACGACCCACACGCGUCUUUUGACGCUCAUGACGAGACCUCAGGUCAGGCGGGGCUACCCGCUGAAUUUAAGCAUAUCAAUAAGCGGAGGA